rnacentral:rRNA from 1 species
AAACAUUUCUAAAUGACAUUACAUUUAGUAAGACCUGCUCAUUGAUUCCUAAACAGCCGCGGUCACCCGUGCUAAGGUAGCAUAAUCACUUGCCUUUUAAUUAGAGGCUAGAAUGAAAGGUCAAACAUGCCGCUCCUUUUAUUGAACUGAUUUCUCUAAAUUCUCUUGUAAGUAAGAAGCCUUACAUAAACCAGAGGGACGACAAGACCCUGUCGAACUUUUACUUAAUGUUUAGCUGGGGCGGCAUUAAACUAUUUCUUUUACUUUAUUCCUUAAAUAACCCCCCCCAAGGAACCUUCAAGUUACCGCAGGGAUAACAGCAUAAUUUAUUCUAAAAGACCUUAUUUAAGAAUAAGAUUGUGACCUCGAUGUUGAAUUAAUAUUCUUCUAGGGGCAAAAUUCUAGAAAGAAAGUCUGUUCGACUUUUAAAUAAUUACGUG